ACGGAGAGUUUGAUUCUGGCUCAGAACGAACGCUGGCGGCGUGGAUAAGACAUGCAAGUCGAGCGAGAUUUUUUCCUGUAGCAAUACAGGGAAAAGUCUAGCGGCGAACGGGUGCUUAACACGUGGGCAAUCUGCCAAGAAGUGGGGGAUAGCUCGCCGAAAGGCGAAUUAAUACCGCAUGUGAUCAGAGUGGACAUCCAUUCGAAAUCAAAGUCGGGGCAACCUGACGCUUUUUGAGGAGCCCGCGGCCUAUCAGCUAGUUGGUGAGGUAACGGCCCACCAAGGCUUAGACGGGUAGCUGGUCUGAGAGGACGACCAGCCACACUGGGACUGAGACACGGCCCAGACACCUACGGGUGGCAGCAGUCGAGAAUUUUUCUCAAUGGGGGAAACCCUGAAGGAGCGACGCCGCGUGGAGGAUGAAGGUCUUCGGAUUGUAAACUCCUGUCAUUGGGGAACAAUGCGUAAAUAUUAACUGUAUUUGCGUUGAUAGUACCCGAAGAGGAAGAGACGGCUAACUCUGUGCCAGCAGCCGCGGUAAUACAGAGGUCUCAAGCGUUGUUCGGAUUCAUUGGGCGUAAAGGGUGCGUAGGCGGCGCGGUAAGUCGGGUGUGAAAUCUCGGAGCUUAACUCCGAAACUGCAUUCGAUACUGCCGUGCUUGAGGACUG
rnacentral:rRNA from 1 species